GGCAGCCGUGCCGAGAUGAACCCCAGCGUCCCCCAGCUACCCCAUGGCCUCUCUGUACGUGGGGGACCUGCACCCCGACGUGACCGAGGCGAUGCUCUACGAGAAGUUCAGCCCGGCCGGGCCCAUCCUCUCCAUCCGGGUCUGCAGGGACAUGAUCACCCGCCGCUCCUUGGGCUACGCGUAUGUGAACUUCCAGCAGCCGGGGGACGCGGAACGUGCUUUGGACACCAUGAAUUUUGAUGUUAUAAAGGGCAAGCCAGUACGCAUCAUGUGGUCUCAGCGUGAUCCAUCACUUCGCAAAAGUGGAGUAGGCAACAUAUUCAUUAAAAAUUUGGACAAAUCCAUCGACAAUAAAGCACUAUAUGAUACGUUUUCUGCGUUUGGUAACAUCCUUUCAUGUAAGGUGGUUUGUGAUGAAAAUGGCUCCAAGGGCUAUGGAUUUGUACAUUUUGAAACACAGGAAGCAGCUGAAAGAGCUAUUGAAAAAAUGAAUGGGAUGCUUCUAAAUGAUCGUAAAGUGUUUGUUGGACGAUUUAAAUCUCGAAAGGAAGGAGAAGCAGAGCUUGGAGCCAGGGCAAAGGAGUUCACCAAUGUUUACAUCAAGAAUUUUGGAGAAGACAUGGAUGAUGAGCGCCUUAAGGAACUCUUUGGCAAGUUUGGGCCUGCCUUAAGUGUGAAAGUAAUGACAGAUGAAAGUGGAAAAUCCAAAGGAUUUGGAUUUGUAAGCUUUGAAAGGCAUGAAGAUGCGCAGAAAGCUGUGGAUGAGAUGAAUGGGAAGGAGCUCAAUGGAAAACAGAUUUAUGUUGGUCGAGCUCAGAAAAAAGUGGAACGGCAGACGGAACUUAAGCGCAAAUUUGAGCAGAUGAAGCAGGAUAGGAUCACCAGAUAUCAGGGUGUGAACCUUUAUGUGAAAAAUCUUGAUGACGGUAUUGAUGAUGAGCGUCUCCGGAAGGAGUUUUCUCCGUUUGGUACAAUUACCAGUGCAAAAGUAAUGAUGGAGGGUGGGCGCAGCAAAGGGUUUGGUUUUGUAUGUUUCUCAUCCCCUGAAGAAGCCACUAAAGCAGUUACAGAGAUGAAUGGUAGAAUUGUGGCCACGAAGCCACUGUAUGUAGCUUUAGCUCAGCNCAAAGAAGAGCGCCAGGCUCACCUCACUAACCAGUAUAUGCAGAGGAUGGCAAGUGUACGAGCUGUGCCCAACCCCGUGAUCAACCCCUACCAGCCAGCACCUCCUUCAGGUUACUUCAUGGCAGCUAUCCCACAG